rnacentral:sRNA from 1 species
AAAAAGGUUGACAUGGCUGAAGCAGAAGAUGGGUUGGUACUGAAUGGUUGGGAGAGAUAUGUAGCGGCUGACCCUGAAGGAUGUUGCAGCCCAUGCUAUGGAGACCUGAUUUUAUUUUGUAAGAGGUGGGCAACCCCUGAAGCAUUUUAGUGAUGCGAACAGAUGUGUCUGUUACCAAGCAAAGCCAGUUAAAGAAGGUCACAGAGGAGGAAUGAUCACAAAAUGCAGGUAGGUAGAUCGCUGACCAUAUUUGCUCAUUUCUGGAUUUAUUCAUUCAAAGGAAGCACUAUGAGUCAAUCAUUGGGCACAGAGAGUCUGAGAAGCCAACUGGGGCCAAGCAAGUUUUAGAACCUCUACUGGCUGAUGCCAACAUCAUCAGAGAUGAACUGUUCUUACCAGAAACUUCUCUGCUCCUGACACCACACCUCUCCCCAGAAGAGAAGAAGGAGAGUGGCCACGUUGAUUCAGCCAAGCACCUCCAGGAGGUCUCCUCUGGAUGUCCCAUGAGGCUGCCCCUCAGCCACAGCCCAGAGCACGUGGAGAUGGCUUUGCUCAGCAACAUCCUAGCGGCCUAUUCCUUUGUCUC